CAGUGAUUCAAUUUUAAGAAGGUGU
rnacentral:piRNA from 2 species